AUUGAACGCUGGCGGCAGGCCUAACACAUGCAAGUCGAGCGGAUGAAGGGUGCUUUCUCCUGGAUUCAGCGUCGGACGGGUGUGUAAUGCCUAGGAAUCUGCCUGGUAGUGGGGUAUAACGUCCGGAAACGGGCGCUAAUACCGCAUACGUCCUGCGGGUGCAAGUUGGGGAUCUUCGGACCUCACGCUAUCAGUUGAGCCUAGGUCGGAUUAGCUAGUUGGUGGGGUAAAGGCCUACCAAGGCGACGAUCCGUAAAUGGUCUGAGAGGAUGAUCAGCCAAACUGGAACGGAGACACGGUCAAGACAACUACGGGAGGCAGAAGAGGGGAAUAGUGGACAAUGGGAGAAAGCAUGAAAAAGCAAAGCCGAGUGUGAGAAGAAGGUAUUAGGAUUGUAAAGCACUUUAAGUUGGGAGGAAGGGAAGUAAGUUAAUACCUUGCUGUAUUGACGAUACCAACAGAAUAAGCACCGGCUAACUACGUG
rnacentral:rRNA from 1 species